rnacentral:rRNA from 1 species
GGUUAAGCGACUAAGCGUACACGGUGGAUGCCCUGGCAGUCAGAGGCGAUGAAGGACGUGCUAAUCUGCGAUAAGCGUCGGUAAGGUGAUAUGAACCGUUAUAACCGGCGAUUUCCGAAUGGGGAAACCCAGUGUGAUUCGUCACACUAUCAUUAACUGAAUCCAUAGGUUAAUGAGGCGAACCGGGGGAACUGAAACAUCUAAGUACCCCGAGGAAAAGAAAUCAACCGAGAUUCCCCCAGUAGCGGCGAGCGAACGGGGAGCAGCCCAGAGCCUGAAUCAGUGUGUGUGUUAGUGGAAGCGUCUGGAAAGGCGCGCGAUACAGGGUGACAGCCCCGUACACAAAAAUGCACAUGCUGUGAGCUCGAUGAGUAGGGCGGGACACGUGGUAUCCUGUCUGAAUAUGGGGGGACCAUCCUCCAAGGCUAAAUACUCCUGACUGACCGAUAGUGAACCAGUACCGUGAGGGAAAGGCGAAAAGAACCCCGGCGAGGGGAGUGAAAAAGAACCUGAAACCGUGUACGUACAAGCAGUGGGAGCACGCUUAGGCGUGUGACUGCGUACCUUUUGUAUAAUGGGUCAGCGACUUAUAUUCUGUAGCAAGGUUAACCGAAUAGGGGAGCCGAAGGGAAACCGAGUCUUAACUGGGCGUUAAGUUGCAGGGUAUAGACCCGAAACCCGGUGAUCUAGCCAUGGGCAGGUUGAAGGUUGGGUAACACUAACUGGAGGACCGAACCGACUAAUGUUGAAAAAUUAGCGGAUGACUUGUGGCUGGGGGUGAAAGGCCAAUCAAACCGGGAGAUAGCUGGUUCUCCCCGAAAGCUAUUUAGGUAGCGCCUCGUGAAUUCAUCUCCGGGGGUAGAGCACUGUUUCGGCAAGGGGGUCAUCCCGACUUACCAACCCGAUGCAAACUGCGAAUACCGGAGAAUGUUAUCACGGGAGACACACGGCGGGUGCUAACGUCCGUCGUGAAGAGGGAAACAACCCAGACCGCCAGCUAAGGUCCCAAAGUCAUGGUUAAGUGGGAAACGAUGUGGGAAGGCCCAGACAGCCAGGAUGUUGGCUUAGAAGCAGCCAUCAUUUAAAGAAAGCGUAAUAGCUCACUGGUCGAGUCGGCCUGCGCGGAAGAUGUAACGGGGCUAAACCAUGCACCGAAGCUGCGGCAGCGACACUAUGUGUUGUUGGGUAGGGGAGCGUUCUGUAAGCCUGUGAAGGUGUACUGUGAGGUAUGCUGGAGGUAUCAGAAGUGCGAAUGCUGACAUAAGUAACGAUAAAGCGGGUGAAAAGCCCGCUCGCCGGAAGACCAAGGGUUCCUGUCCAACGUUAAUCGGGGCAGGGUGAGUCGACCCCUAAGGCGAGGCCGAAAGGCGUAGUCGAUGGGAAACAGGUUAAUAUUCCUGUACUUGGUGUUACUGCGAAGGGGGACGGAGAAGGCUAUGUUGGCCGGGCGACGGUUGUCCCGGUUUAAGCGUGUAGGCUGGUUUUCCAGGCAAAUCCGGAAAAUCAAGGCCGAGGCGUGAUGACGAGGCACUACGGUGCUGAAGCAACAAAUGCCCUGCUUCCAGGAAAAGCCUCUAAGCAUCAGGUAACAUCAAAUCGUACCCCAAACCGACACAGGUGGUCAGGUAGAGAAUACCAAGGCGCUUGAGAGAACUCGGGUGAAGGAACUAGGCAAAAUGGUGCCGUAACUUCGGGAGAAGGCACGCUGAUAUGUAGGUGAAGUCCCUCGCGGAUGGAGCUGAAAUCAGUCGAAGAUACCAGCUGGCUGCAACUGUUUAUUAAAAACACAGCACUGUGCAAACACGAAAGUGGACGUAUACGGUGUGACGCCUGCCCGGUGCCGGAAGGUUAAUUGAUGGGGUCAGCGCAAGCGAAGCUCUUGAUCGAAGCCCCGGUAAACGGCGGCCGUAACUAUAACGGUCCUAAGGUAGCGAAAUUCCUUGUCGGGUAAGUUCCGACCUGCACGAAUGGCGUAAUGAUGGCCAGGCUGUCUCCACCCGAGACUCAGUGAAAUUGAACUCGCUGUGAAGAUGCAGUGUACCCGCGGCAAGACGGAAAGACCCCGUGAACCUUUACUAUAGCUUGACACUGAACAUUGAGCCUUGAUGUGUAGGAUAGGUGGGAGGCUUUGAAGUGUGGACGCCAGUCUGCAUGGAGCCGGCCUUGAAAUACCACCCUUUAAUGUUUGAUGUUCUAACGUUGACCCGUAAUCCGGGUUGCGGACAGUGUCUGGUGGGUAGUUUGACUGGGGCGGUCUCCUCCUAAAGAGUAACGGAGGAGCACGAAGGUUGGCUAAUCCUGGUCGGACAUCAGGAGGUUAGUGCAAUGGCAUAAGCCAGCUUGACUGCGAGCGUGACGGCGCGAGCAGGUGCGAAAGCAGGUCAUAGUGAUCCGGUGGUUCUGAAUGGAAGGGCCAUCGCUCAACGGAUAAAAGGUACUCCGGGGAUAACAGGCUGAUACCGCCCAAGAGUUCAUAUCGACGGCGGUGUUUGGCACCUCGAUGUCGGCUCAUCACAUCCUGGGGCUGAAGUAGGUCCCAAGGGUAUGGCUGUUCGCCAUUUAAAGUGGUACGCGAGCUGGGUUUAGAACGUCGUGAGACAGUUCGGUCCCUAUCUGCCGUGGGCGCUGGAGAACUGAGGGGGGCUGCUCCUAGUACGAGAGGACCGGAGUGGACGCAUCACUGGUGUUCGGGUUGUCAUGCCAAUGGCACUGCCCGGUAGCUAAAUGCGGAAGAGAUAAGUGCUGAAAGCAUCUAAGCACGAAACUUGCCCCGAGAUGAGUUCUCCCUGACUCCUUGAGAGUCCUGAAGGAACGUUGAAGACGACGACGUUGAUAGGCCGGGUGUGUAAGCGCAGCGAUGCGUUGAGCUAACCGGUACUAAUGAACCGUGAGGCUUAACCUU